ACGAACGCUGGCGGCACGCCUAACACAUGCAAGUCGAACGGAGCUGAGAGAAGCUUGCUUUUCUUAGCUUAGUGGCGAACGGGUGAGUAACGCGUGAGUAACCUGCCCUGGAGUGGGGGACAACAGUUGGAAACGACUGCUAAUACCGCAUAAGCCCACGAUCCGGCAUCGGAUUGAGGGAAAAGGAUUUAUUCGCUUCAGGAUGGACUCGCGUCCAAUUAGCUAGUUGGUGAGGUAACGGCCCACCAAGGCGACGAUUGGUAGCCGGACUGAGAGGUUGAACGGCCACAUUGGGACUGAGACACGGCCCAGACUCCUACGGGAAGCAGCAGUGGGGGAUAUUGCACAAUGGGGGAAACCCUGAUGCAGCGACGCCGCGUGGAGGAAGAAGGUUUUCGGAUUGUAAACUCCUGUCGUUAGGGACGAUAAUGACGGUACCUAACAAGAAAGCACCGGCUAACUACGUG
rnacentral:rRNA from 1 species